GGAAACUUGGAAACUACCGUUGAAUAAAAAAUGAACAUUUUGAUAUUUGUUCACGUCACUAUGAGUAAAAGUUUUGCUGAAAGUAAAAUUUUUACUCAUGAGUAAAUCUGUGAGUAAUUUUUUUACUUGUGAUGAUGUGGGCGAAUUUCGGACGUCAAUUUUUCAAUCCAAUGGCAGUUUCCAAGUUUCC
rnacentral:pre_miRNA from 1 species